rnacentral:rRNA from 1 species
AUCCAGACUCCUACGGGAGGCAGCAGUGGGGAAUAUUGCACAAUGGGGGAAACCCUGAUGCAGCGACGCCGCGUGAGCGAAGAAGUAUUUCGGUAUGUAAAGCUCUAUCAGCAGGGAAGAAAAAAUGACGGUACCUGACUAAGAAGCACCGGCUAAAUACGUGCCAGCAGCCGCGGUAAUACGUAUGGUGCAAGCGUUAUCCGGAUUUACUGGGUGUAAAGGGAGCGCAGGCGGUACGGCAAGUCUGAUGUGAAAGCCCGGGGCCCAACCCCGGGACUGCUCUGGAAACUGCGUCGCUGGAGUACGGGAGGGGCAGGCGGAAUUCCUGGUGUAGCGGUGAAAUGCGUAGAUAUCAGGAGGAACACCGGCGGCGAAGGCGGCCUGCUGGACCGUGACUGACGUUGAGGCUCGAGAGCGUGGGGAGCAAACAGGAUUAGAUACCCCCGGACA